UCAAAGAGUUGAAGGUGCCUAUCGUAGGUGUGCCAAACACCCUGCUUCGGCUUCUGCCCUUGCAUUUGUGGGCCCUAAAGAAAUGGGGCCACGGUUCUGCCCCACCCCUGCCUCUGCGUUGCUGCCUGGGGGCUUGGCCCCCCACCUCCUCACGCCCCCACUGUGUGCCUCCUAUGAGCAGACUCCGAACAGAGAGCAGAGGCCCGAAGAGGACCACAAAACCAUUCGGACAGGCUCUAGACCGGGAAAUAAAAGCCUUUUAAAGAGCCCUGGAGCCUGGGCAGCUGGCUGCCCAUCUCGGUGGGGGCUGGGGGGUGGGCUGCCUGCCUCCUUCCCCACCGGAGGCCACGCGCUUCUGGCUCAGAGCUUUACAGGCGCACAUACCAAUUAGGGGACCAACCACAGCUGCUCACGCGCUCUGCCAGUCUCUGCCGGCCCGGAAUAGAAGCCAGGCAGCCAGCGCCCCGCCCCUGCAGCCUGGCUCGCAGAAACACAACCCUGCUGCCAUCGCGAACCGCGCACACCGCCCUUCCUCCCACGCAGGAGAGUCGCCUCCAGAUGCCUGGUUGGAAGGCUUGGUUUCCAUGACGACAGGCUUCGGGGAGCCGGCGGAACACGUGACCCGGCUGAGACGAUGCGCAGAGGAAGCCCAGAGACCGCCUCCGGCCGCCGUGCGCCUUUCCAGCCGGCGCCCACACACUCCCGCCCCCGCCCCGGAGCGUCCUCUUCCGCCGGGAGACCGGCGCCGGGGCCCGGGGACCGUCCGGGAGACGGCGCGAGCACGCAAACGCCACACACCCGCACUGCGCUCCGAAACGCCCGCCUCCACAACAGACCCAGCAGCCGAUGACACACGACGGGAGACCGAUCACCGCCACUUGGACUCUGUUACGUUUGCCCAGCAGCACUGCAAGCAUCCACAGCCGCACCUGACAGACACAGACUCCCGAGCAACGACACAAAACCAGGGCGCGCGCACGGUCAUUGCCGGGCGCUCGCGCCCUUCCUCCAGCACGCUCCGCUUGGCUCGCCGCUUCAUCCGCACAUGCCAGCAGCCCCCAUCCCUUACACAGAACCGCUCAACCUUUCAGAAGAAACCUUUUAAUUGUUUUUUUCAAAGAAAAAAAGCCAUAUAAAUAUUAGAGUAUAAAACUUGCGUGAGACACAGGAAGGGCAGUGGGUGGGAAAGCUACGUGACUAUGCGAAGAGAAGCACUUCUAGGAGUCAGUACCGGGGAGGGGGUCGCCGCAGCGCGAGGACACAGCACAAAACACAGCACGGGCCGCCGCAGGCGGAUUCAAGGACGGACGGCUGCGCGGAGCCCUCCGCCCACCCGCCCCCACGGAAAAGCACACCGCACUACACUAUUGGCUAUU